rnacentral:rRNA from 1 species
GUAGGUGGCAAGCGUUGUCCGGAAUUAUUGGGCGUAAAGCGCGCGCAGGCGGUUCUUUAAGUCUGAUGUGAAAGCCCACGGUUCAACCGUGGAGGGUCAUUGGAAACUGGAGAACUUGAGUACAGAAGAGGAAAGCGGAAUUCCACGUGUAGCGGUGAAAUGCGUAGAGAUGUGGAGGAACACCAGUGGCGAAGGCGGCUUUCUGGUCUGUAACUGACGCUGAGGCGCGAAAGCGUGGGGAGCAAACAGGGAUUGGAUACCCUGGUAGUCCACGCCGUAAACGAUGAGUGCUAAGUGUUAGGGGGUUUCCCGCCCCUUAGUGCUGCAGCUAACGCAUUAAGCACUACGCCUGGGGAGUACGGCCGCAAGGCUG